rnacentral:misc_RNA from 1 species
GUAGGUGAACCUGCGGAAGGAUCAUUACCGAGUUCAUGCCCUCACGGGUAGAUCUCCCACCCUUUGUAUACCUUACCUUUGUUGCUUUGGCGGGCCGCCUAGCUACUGGCCUCGGCUGGUAAGUGCCCGCCGGAGAACCCCAAACCCAACCCAUUUAUAGUGUCGUCUGAGUGAAAAUAUAAAUUAUUUAAAACUUUCAACAACGGAUCUCUUGGUUCCG